CGUUGUCUUCGGACAACCACCAAUGGUCAGUGGCUUGAGAUGACCGCCUUCGGGUAGCUGAAAUAACACUCCUGUAGCCUGAAAGGGAGAACACAUCAGUGUGGUACAUCUGCUCACCUUUGGAAGCAGAUAUCGUCAAUCACGGCUCCU
rnacentral:sRNA from 2 species